rnacentral:rRNA from 1 species
UACAGAGGGGGCAAGCGUUGUUCGGAAUUACUGGGCGUAAAGGGCGCGUAGGCGGCCUGCUAAGUCGAACGUGAAAUCCCCAGGCUUAACCUGGGAACUGCAUCCGAUACUGGAUGGCUUGAAUUCGGGAGAGGGAUGCAGAAUUCCAGGUGUAGCGGUGAAAUGCGUAGAUAUCUGGAGGAAUACCAGUGGCGAAAGCGGCACCCUAGCGUUAGCCUGACGCUCAUGUGCGAAAGCGUGGGGAGCGAACGGG